CGCUAGCGACAGGCUUAACACAUGCAAGUCGAGGGGUAACAGGGUGUAGCAAUACACCGCUGACGACCGGCGCACGGGUGAGUAACGCGUAUGCAACCUGCCUUUGACAGAGGGAUAGCCCAUGGAAACGUGGAUUAAUACCUCAUAGUCUCUUUUUUCUUCCUGGGAAAUAGAGUAAAACGUCAGUGGUCAAAGAUGGGCAUGCGUCCUAUUAGGCAGUUGGCGGGGUAACGGCCCACCAAACCGAUGAUAGGUAGGGGUUCUGAGAGGAAGGUCCCCCACACUGGUACUGAGACACGGACCAGACUCCUACGGGAGGCAGCAGUGAGGAAUAUUGGUCAAUGGUCGAGAGACUGAACCAGCCAAGUCGCGUGAGGGAAGACUGCCCUAUGGGUUGUAAACCUCUUUUCUACUGGGAGAAUAAGCCUUAUGUAUAAGGUGAUGACAGUACAGUAGGAAUAAGCAUCGGCUAACUCCGUGCCAGCAGCCGCGGUAAUACGGAGGAUGCGAGCGUUAUCCGGAUUUAUUGGGUUUAAAGGGUGCGUAGGCGGCUUUAUAAGUUAGUGGUAAAAUUUCGGAGCUUCACUCCGGUCCGCCAUUAAAACUGUAGAGCUAGAGAAUGGACGAGGUAGGCGGAAUAAGUUAAGUAGCGGUGAAAUGCAUAGAUAUAACUUAGAACUCCGAUAGCGAAGGCAGCUUACCAGACCAUAACUGACGCUGAUGCACGAGAGCGUGGGUAGCGAACAAGGAUUAGAUACCCUGGUAGUCCACGCCGUAAACGAUGCUCACCGGCCCUUAGCGAUAAGACAGUUAGGGGUUAAUUGAAAGAAUUAAGUGAGCCACCUGGGGAGUACGUCGGCAACGAUGAAACUCAAAGGAAUUGACGGGGGCCCGCACAAGCGGAGGAACAUGUGGUUUAAUUCGAUGAUACGCGAGGAACCUUACCUGGGUUUAAAUGUAUAUUGCAUAAUCUGGAAACAGUUUUUCUCUUCGGAGCUAUAUACAAGGUGCUGCAUGGUUGUCGUCAGCUCGUGCCGUGAGGUGUCGGGUUAAGUCCCAUAACGAGCGCAACCCUUACCGUUAGUUGCUAGCAUGUAAUGAUGAGCACUCUAGCGGGACUGCCACCGUAAGGUGAGAGGAAGGGGGGGAUGACGUCAAAUCAGCACGGCCCUUACAUCCAGGGCGACACACGUGUUACAAUGGCCAUAACAGCGGGUAGCUACCGGGUGACCGGAUGCAAAUCUCGAAAAUUGGUCUAAGUUCGGAUUGGAGUCUGCAACCCGACUCCAUGAAGUUGGAUUCGCUAGUAAUCGCGCAUCAGCCAUGGCGCGGUGAAUACGUUCCCGGGCCUUGUACACACCGCCCGUCAAGCCAUGGAAGCUGGGAGUACAAGAAGUCCGUAACCGCGAGGAUCGGCCUAGGGUAAUACCGGUAACUGG
rnacentral:rRNA from 1 species